UCGAGCGAGCUUGCCUAGAUGAAUUUGGUGCUUGCACCAGAUGAAACUAGAUACAAGCGAGCGGCGGACGGGUGAGUAACACGGGGGUAACCUGCCCAAGAGACUGGGAUAACACCUGGAAACAGAUGCUAAUACCGGAUAACAACACUAGACGCAUGUCUAGAGUUUAAAAGAUGGUUCUGCUAUCACUCUUGGAUGGACCUGCGGUGCAUUAGCUAGUUGGUAAGGUAACGGCUUACCAAGGCAAUGAUGCAUAGCCGAGUUGAGAGACUGAUCGGCCACAUUGGGACUGAGACACGGCCCAAACUCCUACGGGAGGCAGCAGUAGGGAAUCUUCCACAAUGGACGCAAGUCUGAUGGAGCAACGCCGCGUGAGUGAAGAAGGGUUUCGGCUCGUAAAGCUCUGUUGGUAGUGAAGAAAGAUAGAGGUAGUAACUGGCCUUUAUUUGACGGUAAUUACUUAGAAAGUCACGGCUAACUACGUGCCAGCAGCCGCGGUAAUACGUAGGUGGCAAGCGUUGUCCGGAUUUAUUGGGCGUAAAGCGAGUGCAGGCGGUUCAAUAAGUCUGAUGUGAAAGCCUUCGGCUCAACCGGAGAAUUGCAUCAGAAACUGUUGAACUUGAGUGCAGAAGAGGAGAGUGGAACUCCAUGUGUAGCGGUGGAAUGCGUAGAUAUAUGGAAGAACACCAGUGGCGAAGGCGGCUCUCUGGUCUGCAACUGACGCUGAGGCUCGAAAGCAUGGGUAGCGAACUGGAUUAGAUACCCUGGUAGUCCAUGCCGUANACGAUGAGUGCUAAGUGUUGGGAGGUUUCCGCCUCUCAGUGCUGCAGCUAACGCA
rnacentral:rRNA from 1 species